rnacentral:misc_RNA from 1 species
GAUGAAGAACGCAGCGAAAUGCGAUAAGUAAUGCGAAUUGCAGAAUUCAGUGAGUCAUCGAAUCUUUGAACGCACAUUGCGCCCUGUGGUAUUCCGCAGGGCAUGCCUGUUCGAGCGUCAUUUCAACCCUCAAGCCCCGCUUGGUGUUGGGCCCGCCCGCUGUGGCCGGCCCUAAAGACAGUGGCGGCGCCGCCUGGCCCUCAGCGUAGUACAUCUCUCGCUCCAGGGUCCGGUGGCCGCCUGCCAGAACCCCCCAACUCUGUGGUUGACCUCGGAUCAGGUAGGGAUACCCGCUGAACUUAAGCAUAUCAAUAAGCGGAGGA